UACAGAGGUCCCAAGCGUUGUUCGGAUUCACUGGGCGUAAAGGGUGCGUAGGCGGCCGGGUAAGUCUGCUGUGAAAUCCCGCAGCUCAACUGCGGAACUGCAUUGGAUACUAUCCGGCUAGAGGAAUGGAGGGGAGACUGGAGUUCUCGGUGUAGCAGUGAAAUGCGUAGAUAUCGAGAGGAACACCAGUGGCGAAGGCGAGUCUCUGGACAUUUCCUGACGCUGAGGCACGAAAGCCAGGGGAGCAAACGGG
rnacentral:rRNA from 1 species